rnacentral:rRNA from 1 species
GACGAACGCUGGCGGCGUGCUUAACACAUGCAAGUCGAGCGGUAAGGCCUUUCGGGGUACACGAGCGGCGAACGGGUGAGUAACACGUGGGUGAUCUGCCCUGCACUCUGGAUAAGCCUGGGAAACUGGGGCCAAUAACGGAUAUGACCUCAGCCUGCAUGUGCUGGGGGGGAAAGCUUUUGUGGUGUAGGAUGGGCCCGCGGCCUAUCAGCUUGUUGGUGGGGUAAUGGCCUACCAAGGCGACGACGGGUAGCCGACCUGAGAGGGUGACCGGCCACACUGGGACUGAGACACGGCCCAGACUCCUACGGGAGGCAGCAGUGGGGAAUAUUGCACAAUGGGCGGAAGCCUGAUGCAGCGACGCCGCGUGAGGGAUGAAGGCCUUCGGGCUGUAAACCUCUUUCAGCAGGGACGAAGCGUGAGUGACGGUACCUGCAGAAGAAGCACCGGCUAACUACGUGCCAGCAGCCGCAGUAACAC